rnacentral:tRNA from 1 species
GCCUUCGUGGUGUAAUGGUCAGCACACUCGGCAGGUAAUGAAGAGGUCCAAGGUUCGAGUCCCGGCGAGGGCA